rnacentral:rRNA from 1 species
UACGUAGGGUGCGAGCGUUGUCCGGAAUUAUUGGGCGUAAAGAGCUCGUAGGCGGCUUGUCGCGUCGGAUGUGAAAGCCCGGGGCUUAACUCCGGGGUCUGCAUUCGAUACGGGCAGGCUAGAGUUCGGUAGGGGAGAUCGGAAUUCCUGGUGUAGCGGUGAAAUGCGCAGAUAUCAGGAGGAACACCGGUGGCGAAGGCGGGUCUCUGGGCCGAUACUGACGCUGAGGAGCGAAAGCGUGGGGAGCGAACAGGAUUAGAUACCCCGGUAGUCAGUCCAAGACCAGUCUCGUCGACCUGACCGAUAACA